CUUGACCGAGCCGAGCCACAGUGGACGGUCGGCAGGCCGGUUCUCGCCGUAUGUGGCGAUGAGCGCCUGGGCUUC
rnacentral:antisense_RNA from 1 species